rnacentral:lncRNA from 1 species
GGUGGUCUACUUGCCUAAGGAAGACCGGUAUAUAUAGCUUAAUGGAUCCACUAGCUUCCUAUGCGGGCACAUAGUUUAUGGGAUAAGGUAGACGAUCAUUGAAACUCAUGCCUAACUGUCGGGGGAGUUUCCAUCUAACCAAAUCCGCUCGGUGCUUAGCCUACAUUCCCAUAGAAUAGUUCAUUACUUUGACAUUAUCAGACAUGAAAGGGUGCCAUAAGCCUGCCGAUUCAAG